rnacentral:rRNA from 1 species
UACGUAGGGCACGAGCGUUGUCCGGAUUUAUUGGGCGUAAAGAGCUCGUAGGCGGCUUGUUGCGUCGGCUGUGAAAUCUCGUGGCUUAACUGCGGGCUUGCAGCUGAUACGGGCGGGCUGGAGUUCGGUAGGGGAGACUGGAAUUCCUGGUGUAGCGGUGAAAUGCGCAGAUAUCAGGAGGAACACCGGUGGCGAAGGCGGGUCUCUGGGCAGAUACUGACGCUGAGGAGCGAAAGCGUGGGGAGCGAACAGG